GUGCCAGCAGCCGCGGUAAUACGUAGGGUGCAAGCGUUGUCCGGAAUUAUUGGGCGUAAAGAGCUCGUAGGCGGUCUGUUGCGUCGGCUGUGAAAACCCGGGGCUCAACCCCGGGCCUGCAGCCGAUACGGGCAGACUAGAGUUCGGCAGGGGAGACUGGAAUUCCUGGUGUAGCGGUGAAAUGCGCAGAUAUCAGGAGGAACACCGGUGGCGAAGGCGGGUCUCUGGGCCGAUACUGACGCUGAGGAGCGAAAGCGUGGGGAGCGAACAGGAUUAGAUACCCUCGUAGUCC
rnacentral:rRNA from 1 species